GCACUGCUGAUGAGUCCCAAAUAAGACGAAACAGCUGUCCAGUGC
rnacentral:hammerhead_ribozyme from 1 species